CGGGAGUUAGGAAAUGCAAGGAUGUUAAUAGCAUCUUUGUUUGACUAAGGCUCCGGAGGAAGCCACGGCUAACUCUGUGCCAGCAGCCGCGGUAAUACAGAGGCGGCAAGCGUUGUUCGGAAUUAUUGGGCGUAAAGAGCACGUAGGCGGCUGUGUAAGUCGGUUGUGAAAGCCUUCCGCUUAACGGAAGAACGGCAUCCGAUACUGCAUAGCUCGAGUGCGGGAGGGGAGAGUGGAACUUCUGGU
rnacentral:rRNA from 1 species